rnacentral:rRNA from 1 species
UACGAAGGGGGCUAGCGUUGCUCGGAAUGACUGGGCGUAAAGGGCGCGUAGGCGGAUGGCACAGUCAGAUGUGAAAUUCCCGGGCUUAACCUGGGGCUGCAUUUGAUACGUGUUGUCUUGAGUUCGGAAGAGGGUCGUGGAAUUCCCAGUGUAGAGGUGAAAUUCGUAGAUAUUGGGAAGAAACACCGGUGGCGAAGGCGGCGACCUGGUCCGACACUGACGCUGAGGCGCGAAAGCGUGGGGAGCAAACAGGAU